rnacentral:rRNA from 1 species
CAAGCGUUAAUCGGAAUUACUGGGCGUAAAGCGCACGCAGGCGGUCUGUUAAGUCAGAUGUGAAAUCCCCGGGCUUAACCUGGGAACUGCAUUUGAAACUGGCAGGCUUGAGUCUUGUAGAGGGGGGUAGAAUUCCAGGUGUAGCGGUGAAAUGCGUAGAGAUCUGGAGGAAUACCGGUGGCGAAGGCGGCCCCCUGGACAAAGACUGACGCUCAGGUGCGAAAGCGUGGGGAGCAAACAGGAUUAGAUACCCUGGUAGUCCACGCCGUAAACGAUGUCGACUUGGAGGCUGUGAGCAUGACUCGUGGCUUCCGGAGCUAACGCGUUAAGUCGACCGCCUGGGGAGUACGGCCGCAAGGUUAAAACUCAA